rfam:Aedes aegypti strain Liverpool supercont1.75 genomic scaffold, whole genome shotgun sequence.
GGGCUGGUGGUGUAAUGGCUACCGCUUCUGCUUCAUAAGCAGAAGGUCAUGGGUUCAAUCCCGGGUCCGUCCCU